AGCUUUGCGCAGCGGCGGUAUCGUAGCCAAUGAGGUUUAUCCGAGGCGCGAUUAUUGCUAAUUGAAAUCAUUACACUGUAUGCAAACUAACUUGGAUGUAAAUUUAAAAGUUAAAAGAGUUGGGACAGUUAGCUGAGCCAGCCAGGCACCCAAGAUUAUUUGUUGUUUUAAACGUAAG
rnacentral:snRNA from 1 species